GGUGGGGGUGGGGUCCUUCAGCCUGGAUUGUGAGAGGGUGCAGGCCAGGCCAAGGGACCCCACCAGUGAACG
rnacentral:pre_miRNA from 1 species